CGGCCCAGAUUCUACGGGAGGCAGCAGGGGGAUAUGUCACAAUGGCNGCAGCCUGAUGCAGGACGCGCUGGNNGGAUGAAGCCCUCNGGUGUAAACUCUUUCAGCAGGGACGAAGCUUUGUGACGGUACUUGCAGAGAAAGCACGGGCUAACUACGUGCCAGCAGCGCGGGUAAUACGUAGGGUGCGAGCGUGUCNNGGAAUACUGGGCGUAAAGAGCUCGUAGGUGGUUUGUCGCGUCGUCUGUGAAAUUCGGGGGCUUAACUCCGGGCGUGCAGGCGAUACGGGCAUAACUGNAGUGCUGUAGGGGAGACUGGAAUUCNUGGUGUAGCGGUGAAAUGCGCAGAUAUCAGGAGGAACACCGAUGGCGAAGGCAGGUCUCUGGGCAGUUACUGACGCUGAGGAGCGAAAGCAUGGGUAGCGAACAGGAUUAGAUACCCUGGUAGUCCAUGCCGUAAACGGUGGGCGCUAGGUGUGGGGGUCUUCCACGACUUCUGUGCCGUAGCUAACGCAUUAAGCGCCCCGCCUGGGGAGUACGGCCGCAAGGCUAAAACUCAAAGGAAUUGACGGGGGCCCGCACAAGCGGCGGAGCAUGUGGAUUAAUUCGAUGCAACGCGAAGAACCUUACCUGGGCUUGACAUAUGCAGGAUUGGCACAGAGAUGUGUUGUCCCUUGUGGUCUGUAUACAGGUGGUGCAUGGUUGUCGUCAGCUCGUGUCGUGAGAUGUUGGGUUAAGUCCCGCAACGAGCGCAACCCUCGUUCUAUGUUGCCAGCACGUAAUGGUGGGAACUCAUGGGAUACUGCCGGGGUCAACUCGGAGGAAGGUGGGGAUGACGUCAAAUCAUCAUGCCCCUUAUGUCUUGGGCUUCACGCAUGCUACAAUGGCCGGUACAAAGGGCUGCAAUACCGCGAGGUGGAGCGAAUCCCUUAAAGCCAGUCUCAGUUCGGAUCGUAGUCUGCAAUUCGACUACGUGAAGUCGGAGUCGCUAGUAAUCGCAGAUCAGCAACGCUGCGGUGAAUACGUUCCCGGGCCUUGUACACACCGCCCGUCAAGUCACGAAAGUCGGUAACACCCGAAGCCGGUGUCCCAACCCCUUUGUGGGAGGGGGCCGUCUAAGGUGGGACUGGUGAUUGGGACUAAGUCGUAACAAGGUAGCC
rnacentral:rRNA from 1 species